CUCCCCUUAAGGGGCCUUCUCCAGGCUGAACCAGCCCAGCUCUCUCAGUCUGUCUCCAGAGCAGAGCUGCUCCAGCCCUUGCAGCAGCUCUCUGAUUUCCUCUGAACUUGCUCCAACAGCUCCUUGUCCCUCUUAUGCUGGGAGUCCCUCAUGUUGUUUUCUCCCUCCUCGGGACUCGUACUGCAGCGAUACAGGCAUUCAGCCCAUGCUGAUGUACUUUUUUUUUCCACAAGAGGGAAACCAUCAAUUAAGGCCUGUAGAUAUUUCAGCUUCCCUAAUAAUUUUCACUAUCAAAGAACUGGCAGCAGCUGUUGCAGUUGCUAAGGCAAUAGUCUGGAAUAGGAAACCUUCCUAGUUUGUGUAGUAAAUUUAAUUAUAGUGUGGGUUUCUUCUGACUUGGCCAUAGAAGGAGUUUUUUGGUCACAGCAGGAGUAAGUGCAGUGUUUCGUACAAAAGGUUACAGCUCUAAGGUUAGGCUGAAUAUGUUGUAACAAGUGAUUGCGUUGUUGUUGAAGACAAAUGCAGUUGAAAGUUUAGUUACUCAACAUAUUAAUCUUUCAAAAAGAAAGUAGUUUAAAAUAAGGUGUUGUUUCCCUGUUAUUUUUCCUUUUUCUUUCCCCUUAUUUUUCCCUUUCCCUUUAUUUUUUUGUUUUCCCCUCAUUUUCCCUUUUCCCUUCUUUUUCCCUUUCGUGUUUUCAGGCUUUCCUGAAUAACCAAAGAUGUUAGAAAUGCAUUUGGUGUUAACAAAGGCAGAUUUUUUUUUAUGACUUUAGUUUCAAAAACUAAACAACUUGAGUCUAAAGACAUAAACAUAAGAGCUAAUGAUCAUGUAGCUCUGUUGCGUGUCACACUUCGCACCCACAGAAGCUGGAGAAGCUUGAACCCAAUUUGCAGGCACUAUGAAAUAAUCUCUUAAGGUACAGUGUGUUCUUGUGUCUCAGCUUUUUUUAAAGAGUAAGUAUAUAUUUUGCAGUACAUACCUUAAAACAGUACUCUAUUGUGGAUGAGGGGUGGACUGGGUAAAAUAAAGUAUUCUUAAGGCUCCUUUGCCUGAUAAGAAAAGGAAUACAUUUCCUGUAUUAUUUUUAACUUCUUUACAUAGAAAUUCUGUCAAGAGCAUUGACGUUCCAUGCUGUAAGGAAAAGUUUACAUUAAAAUAUAUAAAUAUUCUCAGAUGCAGAAGUCAGCAGUAAAGGUAAAAUAUGAGCUGGCCACAUGAGGCAGGUCCAGUUGCUGCUCUUUGCAGAGAAGCACGUAACAGUACUAAUGUAAAAACAGGAUUUUCUUCCAGCAGGAAGCUGGGCACAGUUAGUCUAAGAUGUUUGUCAGCAAAUCUUAUUCUACAUUUGUUAAAAUAUUGCUGUAAGUGCCAAGCAUAAUUAGAAUUCACUCAAACUGAAGUUCCUUACAAGUUAGGAGGCUAUUUUUAAACUGUUCAGAAGCCUAACUAGGGAUGUUCUAUUUUCUUUGGAGUAUUUCUGAGCACCUUCCCUGCCAAAGCUUGCUCAGAAAUAAGCCUUCUAUUUUUAUCAUGGGUCAGAUGCACAGCCUGUGCUAAUUAACACAGCUGCAUGAAAGGCCUUAGAUACAGCCUGACACAGAAGCUGCUGCACUACACAGACAAUCUGGGGUUGUUGGGUUACAUGACAAAUGUGUGAACGCACUUGUAGGGGUCCCAGAAUAAUCUUAUGUAUGUGAGGGGAUGGCAAAAUGCAAAGUAGAUUGAAUCUUCCACAAGCUGCAUUUCCAGCAAGAGCUAUAUUGGACAUUACAAAACUGAAUUUAUUUCCCAUAACCCUAAGUUUUCUCAUGGGAUCCCAAGUUGGUGAGGAGUAAUUAUAACGAGGUGAAUGGGAAUUCCAGCUAUCAAGAGGUGUCAUGCCAUAUCUGGCAAAGAAUAUCUGCAGCACCGACCAGUUUUGUUUUGGUUUUUAAAGGGAGCUUUCAGAAGUAGAAGUGAAAUGACUGUAGUUGCCUGUAGCUGGGAAACUGAUGACUCAGACCCUAUUCAUGUUGUUGAAAGACUGUUUUAUGAGACCUGUCAGAGCUGUGGGUGGACCUGGAGAGGAGUUUGAAGGCAGACUUCAUGUGCAGCAAUGCCUGCAGCAGUGCCUGAUGAGUGUCCCAUCAUAUACCACUAAUGGCAUAUCCUUUUGGAGUUGUUCUUUAAUCUUUGGGUGAUGAGGCUGCAGAAGAGGUGAGGGCAGGGAAUUUCACCAUUUCUUUUAUCUAAGGAGGUGUACUAUCAGGUCUAAAAAGAACUGCUGAAGCAGCACUCUUGCCUUAGAUGGGGAAAGAAAGUGCUGGAGUUUGCUUUGACCCUGCUAUACCCCUGUGUGUAACCGUUUGUAACUAGUGACAUUUUCCCAUCAAUAACAAAAGGGUAUAUUCCAAACUUGAUGAACAAGACUGGAGCUGCAUAGCUCCCAUGAAUGCUAAUAGGAAUAAAGCCUUUCUCCAUCCUCUUGUAAGUUACUUUGCAUAUCCUAAUAGUGCAUUCUCAAUGAGCAACAGGGUCAGUGUUAAUCACUCCAUGGUAUUCCAAGAGCAACUUCAGGGAUCUCUAUCACAUUCCUGUUGGUCGUGUUGUAUCUAGUGUGGCUUGAUCAGAGCUAAGAAGUUAAGCAUGCACACAGAAAUAUUAAAAAGAUCUUAAGGAAACAGUGGAAAUGUACUGUAAAGGAGAUGUUGGAGGCCUGAUAUAACUUGUUAGUCACUUUUAAUAAAAUAUGCAUAUUUAUAUCUCUUUCUGCCUGGAAAUUCCAUAUAUGUCAUGGGUCACCUUAUAAGCCUUUAAAUCAUUCUAUGAUUUGGGGCCACAGGGCUAGAUUUGCAUUUAGAUAACCAGUGCCAAGUGUCUAAAUGUAUACGUUAAUUGUUUGAAUGACACAAUAAGCUAUGACUCAUUAAAAAUAUUCACACAGAAAUAAAUAUACAGCUUUUGUCUGUCUCUGAUUCCCUGCUUAGUACUGGGGGAAGAUACUAAAAUUCUAGGAAAUGGUAAUGUCAAGAUAGAUCUGCAGCUCCAAUGGAGCGCAAACAAAGAGUGAAGUUACUAAGCAGUGCCUAAGUGCAAGAUCUGUAAAGUGAAGUUAGAGGAGCUAUUUAAGGACAGAAGUAUAGAGGAAGCAAGUAUUUCCAUGUAUAUAUUUAACUAUUUGUGUUGUAAUCUGGGCCUUGAUCCUCAAAACUUGCAGAAACCCCUUUUUAGUUAGCAGAGUUCCAACUAUUCCACUUUAAAAUGGGUUAGAAAUGACCACAGAAUUUAAUUGUUCAGUUUAGUAUUGUCAUGGCUUUAAUGAGACUAAAUGAAAAAUUACCUGUGGAUACAGACUAUUGCUUCCCAGUUUCGUAUUUCGUGUAUUUGCUGCUACCCUUUGGUUACAUAACACAGAUUGGUUACAUUUUAAUUAUUUUUACUUAAAUCUAAUAUGUAUUCUUAAUAGAAACGUGGUGUGUACCUUCCAUAACCCAGCCAGUAGGGUGCAUUGGUUCUUUGAAACUUAGUUUCCAGCAAUCUGUUAAGAGUUGCGUAUUUGCUUCUGACUCACAUUUUGCUUUUCUCAGUUCAGGCAUCCUCUAAGUAAGAAAAUCCACCAGUGAAGCCAUUCGGUUAUGGUAGAGACAGUAUGCAAAAAUGGAGUGUAGACUCCUGAAACUUUAUUUCAGGUUAUUCACAGACAGAGUUUGCUGUAAGAUUCUGAAUUCCUAUUCAUAUACCUGUAUUGAUGAAUAUGUUUCUGUAGUGUGGUAACUGAUGUUCAUUCUUUUUUAUAGACUGUCAUAGAUUCCUUCCAAUUUUAGCUGGAUGCAUCUGUAAUUAAGUCCAGGAAUAGCUGUUAGUUUUUGAUACGUAUUCCUUAAGUAAAGUAAAGAACCCCUUCUGUUCUCAUCCUCUGUUUUUAUCUGUUAGAAUUUGUGUGCUGUAAUUAAGGCUUUCACUCUUUUUUAAUGAAUUAAACACUUGAGUUUGUUAACUUUUGCUCUCUGCUUUCUGUUUCUCAGGUUUUGGGAAUUUUAUUUGCUUCCUUCCACCAUGCACUUCAGAGUUGUUUUUAAAAUGUGGACAUCAGAACUUCAUGCAGUUUCAAAUAUCCACCUGAUUAGUGCUGCAUACAAAGCAUCACAUUGGCCCACUUAAAGAGAGCUGCUUCUCUGCUAGAGUUUCUUCAGAUGAGAAUGAUCCAGAAGAUUGUUUGUAAGGUGUAACGUGUAUUUUUAGCUUUGAAGGUAUUCAGCAGUGUUAAGAUGACUUGUUUUAAUAGAACUGGCUUACCAGGUGAGCUGUAUCACUGUGAUAGUGUAAUUUCCUUUCUGCUCAUAUUGACAUCACAAAGAUCCAGCUGUAAUUUCUGUAUUUACAAGGAGAGAGUGUUGAAGAGCAGCAGACCUAUUUGUAAGCCGUGUUGAACCUACAUGAUAGAAGUAUUUUGAUUUGUUUAUGAUGAAGUCUAUAUUUUGUUCAGAAUAUUUUACUGGAGAAUGUUUUUUUUUUGAGACCUACCAGCUGGUUUUUAAUCCAGUGUUCAACAUUGCACUGCUUACGAGCAUUGCACUAUGUUUUUACCCUGUGGAAAUAUGAUUAAAAGCAAGUCCUCCAACUAUUCAGUUCUGUUGCACCAGCACAAUUACUGUCCUUUACAUUUAUAAUCUUUCAGAAUUGAACCAAAUUGCACAGUUUGUAAAAGAUCACGUAUUUUCUUCCAUUAAUUUAUUUUGCCUCCUUUUAAGUAAAAAUCCCACAUCAGCCGUUGCAUUUAUUUGGCUAGGUUUGCUGUCAAGCUGCAUGUAUAGUCUAAACUUCCUUUUGUAUCUUUGGAGUUGAUUGUUACAGGUAUGUAAAAUGUAGUUACUAACCUUGCCAUUGUCUUGCCAAGCCAGUGGUUUUCCCUUAUGUCUUUAAUCUUCCAUAAUUUAUACAGUGUAAUUUAAACUGUCUGCUCUCUAGUUCCCUUUUCCAUAAUCCAUGUACUGAUUUAUUUGUAAUUUUGUUUCUGAUUGAAUUUUUACUGUACUAUUGCACAAAGAUGGAUACUUAUUGAAUGUUGGGGUUUGUUUUUUUGGUUUUUUUUUUCUUGAUUAUGGAAUAUUGGCCUUUUCUUACUCUAAUAAACUCUCUUCAUUUUGUAAAUAGAAAGCUUAAGGAUUUUGAUGGUUUUUCCCCUCACAGGAAGGAGUUGAAUGUUUUGUGAUAUUUUUUAAACUUUGGGAUUUCAGCUGUUGGCCUCAUUGUUACUGAUAAUUUGGCUUUGCUGAUGGCACAGCUAUGUAGGUGUGUUUGCAUCUUCAUGGAUGCAAGACCUUUCCUUGAUUAGAAGCCCAAUGGCACAUGGGUUUUUACUGUGGCUGUAUUCUGUAUUGGUACACUGCUACCUACACCCAGAACUGAGAAAAUCUUUCACUGGCAAACAGUCCUUUGAUGUCAUUCCAGCGAGUGUGAAAGUGCCCUUGCACAGGCCCCAAUAUGCCCAUGCUUUCCUGUCAGCUGCAGCCUCUUCUCCCACCCUUGCACUGUUCUUCCCAUGUGAAGAGAGGUCUACAGGCAAGUGAGGGAGUUGUCUGAAAUACCCUGUAGUUACUUUCAUCUUUUGUUUUAAGCUCCUCAUGGCUGAAAUAGCGGGGUAUGCUGAAUAGCUUGACAAAAGGGAGACGGAAUAGUAGAAGAGAGUGGGGGCAGGAGCAAGGAGACUCUCUCAUGGUAGAGGAUCUGAUGCAGAAUCUUGAAAAUCUUUAAUAUAGGAGGUGCAUCUUUAAUAUAUGGCAUUCACAGCCUGCUAUAUUGAUAAAUAUUUGAACUGUGUAUUUAAGGUGCCCUCAGUUUUCACCAAUAAUGGCAUGUGAGUGUAAAUUAAACAGCUGAAUUAACAGUCUCUGUUCCUGAUAAUAGUAAUAGUGGUGGUGCUGUAACUGUAAACAUCUUGCUAUGCUUUAUUUCAAAUUCUCAAUAUAAAGUUGAUAAGAAAAAUCUGUCAUGUACUAUAGCUAGCUGUAAUCUACAAUAUGUAUUUUAUCAGUACAGAGUUUAAGAAAUGGCUGUGUUUCAUAAAAACAUACUGGUUUCAGUUGUGCCUUAUAAUUUUAAGAUAAAAGUACUUGUAAAAUAAAUCAUCCCCUUCCACUUUUUUAAGCAUUUAAAGUAUGAUUAAAAAUGUCCUGUGUGUGACAUAAAUAAGAGAGUGGUCAGUAGACACAGAAAGUCUUUUGAUGGGAGCAUUUUCAUUAAUUUUAAAACAGAUUCACUCCACCCCUGUUUUCUUACAAUUUUUGUCUUUUCUGUUUGAUUCAGCUUCUAUACUGGCAGCAGAAUGUGUCAGAAACCUUUCCAUUCUUUCAAUCAUGCCAAUAAAGGGGAAAGGCAAGAUUUCAAAACAAACAAACAAACUGGAGUCCAUUGAUUCUAUUGCUGCUGCUUUCAGUAUCAGUUUACUCGCAGCAGAGCCAUUUUUUAAGUUGUGGAGUUUUAAUGAAUUCAAAACAAAGGAAAUCCAAACAAAGCAAGAAUUGAGGGGCAUACUUAGUAGACCUUAUUUGCUGCUUUUGUUGAAAAGAGAAAUUAAGGCUGAACUGGAGGCACAGGUCUCUGCAGUGCCAGGUCUAUUGCAGGUCCAAUACCAGGCCUGAUGAUUUUUUGUCUGUGGUGUUUGUUAGAGCUGACAGUGCUGUGCAUGAAGCAUGUUGAGCCCUUAACAGUGCUCAUGGAGUGUCUGUCCUGUGUCAGUCACCAACAACCUUCCAGCACAUUGGCAAAAUCCCAUGGGAGCUCUGUCUUGUCGCCCUGUGUAAAAACAGGAUGCUCAAGUCUCUGAAGUAGUGAAAAUGAAAAAAAGUAAUUGAGAAAUCCUCAGGCACGGGGAGAAAACAUGGAAUGUUUGAGUGGGAAAGAGUUGUAAAAGCUACAAUCAUUUUGGAUCUGAAUGCUGUUUUGUUGAAAGACUCCAUGAAAGUAGAUAUGUGAAUUAGUGAGCCCACAUCUGAGUUCUCACUCCUCCUUCGUUUUCUAGCUGUAGUAAUUAGCAGCAUUAAAUGUGCCCAGGUCUGCGGUAGUUGAGAAUUGACUGUUAAGGCAGCCCCUCUGUUACUGAGCUGAGUUGGUGGGAGCCAAACUUCUCAUAGAAACUGGCCAAGAGAAGGGCAACAUGAAGUAAUUUAUGUAAAAUUUAUGUAAUUUUAUUCCAUAAUGCUGAAACACCAUUAUGGAAUAAAAGGUAAAAAUAAUCUUACCCCUCAAGUAUCCCUUCUACCUGUUGAUCCAGAGAGGAAAAUCAAUAUGGGAUCUAGAUUGUGAGGCUGAGAUAGGAAAAUAAUAACAGUAGGAUAUUGAAAAACAUACUA